UUUAAUGAGAGUUUGAUCCUGGCUCAGGACGAACGCUGGCGGCGUGCCUAAUACAUGCAAGUAGAACGCUGAUGUUUGGUGUUUACACUAGACUGAUGAGUUGCGAACGGGUGAGUAACGCGUAGGUAACCUGCCUCAUAGCGGGGGAUAACUAUUGGAAACGAUAGCUAAUACCGCAUAAGAGUAAUUAACACAUGUUAGUUAUUUAAAAGGAGCAAUUGCUUCAC
rnacentral:rRNA from 1 species